ACAUUUUAAUUUAUUUAUUUGAUUUUAUAUAACUGCAAAUCUAGUUCUAAUACUUGUUUGACUAAAUUUGCAGAUUUUUUACCUUGAUCGCUUGGCGGGAACCCCCGUUGAUGUAGAACCUUUACCUAGGUUGAAGGUUUGGGGGAACCUGGAAGUGAAAAAAGCAAUCAAGAGAGACAAGAGAAAAGGAUAUGACUAUGGUAGAUCCAAGUCAAAGAAGGUGGUUUAUGAUGGUGAAGUGAGAAACAGUGUUAGUGGCCUGACAAACAAGGAAGUUGACAGGCAGAUUGAAAUUGUGGAUGAGUCGUUGACCGGCAAGGGCACGGAAACUGAUCCUAGCAGGGCAGAUGUUGGCAAUGCAGGGGGAAACGCUGGUGUUUCCCUCUUAGGAAAUCUAAGUAGAGAUAGUGCCGCUGUACAAGAACUGGCGCAUCAGGUACUUGAGUUGUUCAAACCCGAGUUGGAGCGUAUGAUUGUGAAUGCUGUGUCCGAGAGGGAAUGGUUAGCUAGCGGUAGUGGUAUGGGUGUUGGUGGUGAUGGCAGUGGGUGGGGUGGUAGUUUGGUUGGCACUGGGGGGUUUGCUGGCAGUGGUUGGGUUGGGCCUCGUGGUGGGUUGGUUGGCACUAGUGGGUUGGUUGGCACUAGUGGGUUUGGGGGCACUAGGCGGUUUAUUGGCAGAGGUGAUUACGGUGUUGGUACGAG